CGGUUCAGACCCCUGCCAGCGCCGCUCGUCCAUCUGUGCGCCACUCGGGGCACGCCCACGGGCGCACACAUCCAGGAACGAGCCGCGCGCGUCCCCGCCCUGCAGCAGCUGCCAGCUGCAAUCAGUCACCUGCAAACUUCACACCUGAUGGUAAUGACGGAGCUGCCUUUAUAGACCUGGACAACCUGCCAUCACUGGCCGGAUUAUAGCCAUCUGUACCUGACUCUUCCCGUGUUUCUCCUGGAUCCCCUGUUGUUCCCCUUGCCCCCCCCGGACUGCCUUUUGGAUUCUCGACCCCACGCUUGGACACGUUUUCCCACGGACUUCCGCGUUACUUCACUUCCGUCAACAUUUUGGUAA